GUUUUGGAUUGUAGCUUUAUCCUGAGGAGUUCAUUUGGGUAUUUGAUAAUUAAAUACUGAGGAAGAAGUGAGACUACUAGCACACGAAAAGGAAAUCACGGAAAUGGUGCAUGUGUAGUCUCAUUGAUUUCUGAAGUGCUUUCACUUAGUGGGUGACAUUCCUGACAGUUUGAUUACUUGGAAUUUGAGGUGAAAGUGCCCAGGCAAAGAGAUCAAGUCAAGAUAGAGAAAAAUGAGGAGCACGUUAGAAUAAGAAAAUUGGACUUUUUGUGAAGAACACAAUUGCUUGUUCAUAUGUUGCUGAAAUGCAAAGAGACCUCCAGGAUGCACCAAAGAAAGGGACUAAGUACAGAGCAGGAAGAUAGAUGAAGCUUAAAUUAUCAUCAGCAGCACUGUUUGUCAAGUAGGGUAUGCACGUCUGAGGGAGGCUGCGUGUGGCUGCUGCUGCUGACAGAGCCCAGGCAGCGUGCUCUGUGCGUGCACCCCUUCCGGAGGGACCCUGUGAAAGGGAAGUCCUCAGGCCUGGAGGAGGACAAGACUGAUGCUAGCCUCUUGGCACCGAAGUCCACCAGGACUGAAGCACAUUGACCUGCUGUGGCUGUGCAGAAAAGCUGAACUACUCAGACCCUCACUGCUCCAUGGGGCUGCUUGUGUGGUUCGUUCCAGGGGCUCACAAGAAGCAAAACCUCUCACCAGUCAUGGGAAAGGGACAUCAAUUUUGCAGUGAAUACACUUUCAGGCUUUAUAUCUUUUCACACCAGUGGACAGUCCAACAUGCCUUAAGUGAUUGUUCAGAACACUUUAUAAAACGAAAAAUAAAUCAGGUAAUAUGUCCUAAUCAGGUCUUGUCCUGA
rnacentral:lncRNA from 1 species